GUGUCAGCAGCCGCGGUAAGACGGAGGGUGCAAGCGUUGCUCGGAAUCAUUGGGCGUAAAGGGUGCGUAGGCGGCUUUUUAAGUCUGACGUGAAAGCCCAAGGCUUAGCCUUGGAAGUGCGCCAGAAACUGAAAGGCUAGAGUGCCGGAGGGGAGAGUGGAAUUCCUGGUGUAGCGGUGAAAUGCGUAGAUAUCAGGAGGAAUACCGGUGGCGAAAGCGACUCUCUGGACGGUAACUGACGCUGAGGCACGAAAGCGUGGGGAGCAAACAGGAUUAGAAACCCCCGUAGUCC
rnacentral:rRNA from 1 species